rnacentral:rRNA from 1 species
GACGAACGCUGGCGGCGUGCCUAACACAUGCAAGUCGAACGGAGAUACGAUUUCGGUUGUAUCUUAGUGGCGAACGGGUGAGUAACGCGUGAGCAACCUGACUCUUAGAGGGGGAUAACACCUGGAAACAAGUGCUAAUACCGCAUAAGACCACGACCCGGCAUCGGGAUGAGGUCAAAGGAGCAAUCCGCUGAGAGAGGGGCUCGCGUCCCAUUAGAUAGAUGGCGGGGUAACGGCCCACCAUGUCAGCGAUGGGUAGCCGAGCUGAGAGGCUGAUCGGCCACACUGGAACGGAGACACGGUCCAGACUCCUACGGGAGGCAGCAGUGGGGAAUAUUGGGCAAUGGGCGCAAGCCUGACCCAGCAACGCCGCGUGAGGGAAGAAGGCUUUCGGGUUGUAAACCUCUGUCCUUGGUGACGAAACAAAUGACGGUAGCCAAGGAGGAAGCCCCGGCUAACUACGUGCCAGCCGCCGCGGUAACAC